rnacentral:lncRNA from 1 species
GCGAGAGGUCUGCUGUUAGUCUGAUGGGCUUCUUUUUGUAGGUGACCCUAUCUUUCUUUCUGGCUGCCCUUACAAUUUUUUCCUUCUUUUUGACUUUGGAGAAUCUGAAGAUUAUGUGUGUUGGUGUUAAUCUUCUCAUGGAGUAUCUUACUGAGGUUCUCUGAAUUUCCUGAAUUUGAAUGUUGGCUUGUCUUGCUAGGUUGGGGAAGUUCUCCUGGAUAAUAUCUUAAAUCAGGCCCUUCUUCAGUAGGGCUGCUGCAGUUUGCUGGGGUGAACUCCAGACCUGAAUUUCCUGGGUCUCUCCUGCACCCGGAGAUGUCACCAGUGGAGGCUGCAGAAGAGAAAAGAUGACUGCCUCUUCUUCUGGGAUCUCUGUCCCACAGGGACUCUGACCUGGUGCUGGUGGAAAUGCUUCUAUACAAGGUCACGCCAAAUGCCUAGUCAACCCUAAUGAGAGAACCUAGAUACCUCACCUGCCGAUGCAGCAUUCACUUGCCAUUUUCUUUCUUCUUGGUGGGCGUUUCCGACCAUAGCUGUUUCUAGUUGGCCAUCUUGGCACCCCACCUCUUAAUACUGUCACAAUUACAAUAGAAUUUGAACAUGAGUCUUGAUACGAAUAUUCAAACCAUAACAUCCAGUCUACUGAAGAGGCCAUUAAAGAGGGAAGUCUCCAGGAAUUUACAUCACUU